rnacentral:rRNA from 1 species
GUCCUUACGUAGGAAUGUAAGGUCUGGCCUGCCCACUGAAGGGAUUUGAAGGGCCGCGGUAUACUAACCGUGCGAAGGUAGCAUAGUCAAUAGUCUCUUAAUUGGAGGCUUGAAUGAACGGUCGGACAUAAAGGAAUCUGUCUAACAACUAGAAAGCGUGAAUUUAACUUUUGUGUGAAAAGGCAUUAAUACGUUAGUGGGACGAUAAGACCCUAUAAAACUUUACGUAUUGUUUAAGCUUCGCGACUUAGGGGUAAUGAGAAGUUUAGUAAAUACGUUGUGCUGGGGCGGCAGGAAUAUAAUUGUAACUGUUCUUUAUACGAAAUAAUUGUUGUUAGAGAUUGACCCUAAAUUUUGGGUUAUAAGUGUAAGUUACUUUAGGGAUAACAGCGUUAUUUCUCUUGAGAGUUCAUAUCGACAGGGAUAUUUGCGACCUCGAUGUUGAAUUAAAGUUUUUUCCGGGAGUAGAAGUUCGGGUAAUAGGUCUGUUCGACCUUUAAAAUUUUACAUGAUUUGAGUUCAAACCGGUGUGAG